rnacentral:lncRNA from 1 species
UUCGGUCCUAUACAAGUUCCUAAUUCAACCUUUUCAAAUUCUCAUUUUUAGAUCACAUCACACUGUCCUACAUCACCUUACCAUUCUAUCAGCUUUUAACCAACACACAUUGAAGUAAGGAAGUCACUUAGAACUCUCAAAGUUCUAUCCUAUUUAGUAGAUUAUGUGGGUAACAAUGUCCACAUGGCUGAUGUAACAUCCUCUUGUUUUACAAUACCUUAAACUCCUAAUCUUCUACCUUUCAGUGCCCUUUCAUCCACUAAUCAACAUCGAUUAAACACCAUUAUCUAUAUUACAGAACCAAGUACCUAUAAUCAAGUUGUUAUACACCUAGG